rnacentral:rRNA from 1 species
GAUGAACGCUGGCGGCGUGCCUAAUACAUGCAAGUCGAGCGAACGGACGAGAAGCUUGCUUCUCUGAUGUUAGCGGCGGACGGGUGAGUAACACGUGGAUAACCUACCUAUAAGACUGGGAUAACUUCGGGAAACCGGAGCUAAUACCGGAUAAUAUUUUGAACCGCAUGGUUCAAAAGUGAAAGACGGUCUUGCUGUCACUUAUAGAUGGAUCCGCGCUGCAUUAGCUAGUUGGUAAGGUAACGGCUUACCAAGGCAACGAUGCAUAGCCGACCUGAGAGGGUGAGCGGCCACCCUGGAACUGAGACACGGUCCAGACUCCUACGGGAGGCAGCAGUAGGGAAUCUUCCGCAAUGGGCGAAAGCCUGACGGAGCAACGCCGCGUGAGUGAUGAAGGUCUUCGGAUCGUAAAACUCUGUUAUUAGGGAAGAACAUAUGUGUAAGUAACUGUGCACAUCUUGACGGUACCUAAUCAGAAAGCCACGGCUAACUACGUG